rnacentral:rRNA from 1 species
GAAGGAAUCUCGCGGCCCUAUUCAACUUUGUUGGGUGGGGGAAAUGGCCUUACCCAAGGGGGACGACGGGUUAGCCGGCCCUGAGAAGGGUGACCCGGCCCACACUGGGGAUUGGAGACCCCGGGCCCAGACUUCUUACGGGAAGGCAGCCAGUGGGGGAAUAUUGCACCAAUGGGCGAAAAGCCUGAUGCAGCGACGCCGCGUGAGGGAUGACGGCCUUUCGGGUUGUAAACCUUCUUUCAGUAGGGAACAAGGCCCGGGCUUUGUCUGGUUGAGGGUACUUGCAGAAGAAGCGCCGGCUAACUACGUGCCAGCAGCCGCGGUAAUACGUAGGGCGCAAGCGUUAUCCGGAAUUAUUGGGCGUAAAGAGCUCGUAGGCGGUUUGUCGCGUCUGCCGUGAAAGUCCGGGGCUCAACCCCGGAUCUGCGGUGGGUACGGGCAGACUAGAGUGAUGUAGGGGAGACUGGAAUUCCUGGUGUAGCGGUGAAAUGCGCAGAUAUCAGGAGGAACACCGAUGGCGAAGGCAGGUCUCUGGGCAUUAACUGACGCUGAGGAGCGAAAGCAUGGGGAGCGAACAGGAUUAGAUACCCUGGUAGUCCAUGCCGUAAACGUUGGGCACUAGGUGUGGGGGACAUUCCACGUUUUCCGCGCCGUAGCUAACGCAUUAAGUGCCCCGCCUGGGGAGUACGGCCGCAAGGCUAAAACUCAAAGGAAUUGACGGGGGCCCGCACAAGCGGCGGAGCAUGCGGAUUAAUUCGAUGCAACGCGAAGAACCUUACCAAGGCUUGACAUGAACUGGAAACGCCCGGAAACGGGUGCCCCGCUUGCGGCCGGUUUACAGGUGGUGCAUGGUUGUCGUCAGCUCGUGUCGUGAGAUGUUGGGUUAAGUCCCGCAACGAGCGCAACCCUCGUUCCAUGUUGCCAGCGGGUUAUGCCGGGGACUCAUGGGAGACUGCCGGGGUCAACUCGGAGGAAGGUGGGGACGACGUCAAAUCAUCAUGCCCCUUAUGUCUUGGGCUUCACGCAUGCUACAAUGGCCGGUACAAUGGGUUGCGAUACUGUGAGGUGGAGCUAAUCCCAAAAAGCCGGUCUCAGUUCGGAUUGGGGUCUGCAACUCGACCCCAUGAAGUCGGAGUCGCUAGUAAUCGCAGAUCAGCAACGCUGCGGUGAAUACGUUCCCGGGCCUUGUACACACCGCCCGUCAAGUCACGAAAGUUGGUAACACCCGAAGCCCAUGGCCCAACCCGCAAGGGAGGGAGUACGGAGAUGAACCUGUCAGUCCAA